AUGGAUGCCGGCGCCGGCCACGGCGCCUCGCCCGACGACGCCGACGCGGCCUUCUUCUCGCGCCGCCGGUACCGCUGCUGCUGCUUCUCCGCGCCGUGGCAGUCGUCGUCCUCCUCGCACGCCCGCCGCGCGGGGACGACCACGACGGACGAGGAGUGGUGGCACCAGGUGGGGGAAGGGGGCGCAGGGACGGGGGCGGGCGCGGAGCGGCGGCGGUGGUGGCGGCGCGGGGUGGACGCGCUGAUGAAGGUGCGCGAGUGGUCGGAGCUGGUGGCCGGCCCGCGCUGGAAGACCUUCAUCCGGCGGUUCCGCCGCGGGCACCACCGGCACGGGGGCGGGGCCGGCGCCGGCGGGGGGCGGAAGCUCAACUACGACGCGCUCAGCUACGCGCUCAACUUCGACGAGGGCCACGGCGCCAGCCCGGAGGGCCCCGGCGGCGAGUUCCCGGGGUACCCCGACUUCUCCACCCGCUUCGCCGCGCCGCCGGGCUCCGCCAGGUCCUCCAUGGACCUCGGCGGCCGCGACGCGCCCUCGCUGUUCCACCACCCGCUGCCGCAGCAGCCGCACACUCCCCCCGCCGCCGCGCGGGGCUGA
rnacentral:rRNA from 1 species